rnacentral:rRNA from 1 species
UACGUAGGGGGCAAGCGUUGUCCGGAAUUAUUGGGCGUAAAGAGCUCGUAGGCGGUCCAUUAAGUCGGAAGUGAAAUCUCAGGGCUCAACCCUGAAAUUGCUUUCGAUACUGGUGGACUUGAGGCAGGUAGGGGAAGGUGGAAUUCCUGGUGUAGCGGUGAAAUGCGCAGAUAUCAGGAGGAACACCAAUGGCGAAGGCAGCCUUCUGGGCCUGUUCUGACGCUGAGGAGCGAAAGCGUGGGGAGCAAACAGGAUUAGAUACCCCCGUAGUCC